CCCAACGGAGUAGAAUUGCAUGAAGUGGAGUAGAGUAUAAUGCAGCCAAGGAUGACUUGCCGGAACGUUGUUAACCAUGCAUAUGAAUAAUGUGAUGAUUAAUUAUGUGAUGAACAUAUUUCUGGCAAGUUGUCCUUCGGCUACAUUUUGCUCUCUUCUUCUCAUGCAAACUUUCCUUGGG